UCCGAUAUGGUGUAGUGGCCAACAUGAUGCCCUCUCAUAACAUCGAGAGGUUAGGCAUAGCCCCGAGUUCGAUUCUCGGUUUCGGAA
rnacentral:tRNA from 1 species